rnacentral:rRNA from 1 species
GACGAACGCUAGCGGCAGGCCUAAUACAUGCAAGUCAAGGGGAUAGCAAUAUCACCGGCGGACGGGUGCGUAACGCGUACACAACGUGCCCAAGGGCGGAGGAAAGCGGCGGGAAACUGCCGGUAAUACUCCAUGGUGUUGUUGAGUGGCAUCACUUAACAACUAAAGUACAAGCGCCCUUGGAUCGGUGUGCGUUCGAUUAGCUAGUUGGCGGGGUAACGGCCACCAAGGCUUCGAUCGAUAGGGGGUGUGAGAGCAUGACCCCCCCACACGGGUACUGAGACACGGACCCGACUCCUACGGGAGGCAGCAGUAAGGAAUAUUGGACAAUGGGCGGAAGCCUGAUCCAGCCAUGCCGCGUGAAGGACGAAGGCGCUCAGCGUUGUAAACUUCUUUUGGAUGGGAACAAUAACUCCGACUUGUCGGAACUUGAGGGUACCAUCAGAAUAAGNACCGGCUAACUCCGUGCCAG